rnacentral:rRNA from 1 species
GACGAACGCUGGCGGCGUGCUUAACACAUGCAAGUCGAACGGAAAGACCCUGCUUUUGUGGGGUGCUCGAGUGGCGAACGGGUGAGUAACACGUGAGUAACCUGCCCUUGACUUUGGGAUAACUUCAGGAAACUGGGGCUAAUACCGGAUAGGAGCUCCUGCUGCAUGGUGAGGGUUGGAAAGUUUCGGCGGUUGGGGAUGGACUCGCGGCUUAUCAGCUUGUUGGUGGGGUAGUGGCUUACCAAGGCUUUGACGGGUAGCCGGCCUGAGAGGGUGACCGGCCACAUUGGGACUGAGAUACGGCCCAGACUCCUACGGGAGGCAGCAGUGGGGAAUAUUGCACAAUGGGCGGAAGCCUGAUGCAGCAACGCCGCGUGCGGGAUGACGGCCUUCGGGUUGUAAACCGCUUUCGCCUGUGACGAAGCGUGAGUGACGGUAAUGGGUAAAGAAGCACCGGCUAACUACGUG